rnacentral:rRNA from 1 species
GACGAACGCUGGCGGCGUGCUUAACACAUGCAAGUCGAACGGAAAGGCCCUGCUUUUGUGGGGUGCUCGAGUGGCGAACGGGUGAGUAACACGUGAGUAACCUGCCCUUGACUUUGGGAUAACUUCAGGAAACUGGGGCUAAUACCGGAUAGGAGCUCCUGCUGCAUGGUGGGGGUUGGAAAGUUUCGGCGGUUGGGGAUGGACUCGCGACUUAUCAGCUUGUUGGUGGGGUAGUGGCUUACCAAGGCUUUGACGGGUAGCCGGCCUGAGAGGGUGACCGGCCACAUUGGGACUGAGAUACGGCCCAGACUCCUACGGGAGGCAGCAGUGGGGAAUAUUGCACAAUGGGCGGAAGCCUGAUGCAGCAACGCCGCGUGCGGGAUGACGGCCUUCGGGUUGUAAACCGCUUUCGCCUGUGACGAAGCGUGAGUGACGGUAAUGGGGAAAGAAGCACCGGCUAACUACGU